AUCGCUUCUCGGCCUUUUGGCUAAGAUCAAGUGUAGUAUCUGUUCUUAUCAGUUUAAAAACUCUGACUAUAAUCUGGUUUGGGGUCCAAGUCCCUACUCUGUUGUGUCAGGUAUACUUGGGCCCAAGCUUAAGCUUGCUGAAUAAACCCUCGUGUGUUUACAUUGGUGUUGGCUCCUUGGUGGUCUCUCG